UACGUAGGGUGCAAGCGUUAAUCGGAAUUACUGGGCGUAAAGCGUGCGCAGGCGGUUUUGCGAGACCGAUGUGAAAUCCCCGGGCUUAACCUGGGAAUGGCAUUGGUGACUGCACGGCUAGAGUGUGUCAGAGGGGGGUAGAAUUCCACGUGUAGCAGUGAAAUGCGUAGAGAUGUGGAGGAAUACCGAUGGCGAAGGCAGCCCCCUGGGAUAACACUGACGCUCAUGCACGAAAGCGUGGGGAGCAAACAGG
rnacentral:rRNA from 1 species